UACGGGGGGAGCAAGCGUUGUUCGGAUUUACUGGGCGUAAAGGGCGCGUAGGCGGCCACCGCAAGUCGACUGUGAAAUCUCCGGGCUUAACCCGGAAAGGUCAGCCGAUACUGCGGGGCUAGAGUGCAGAAGGGGCAACUGGAAUUCUCGGUGUAGCGGUGAAAUGCGUAGAUAUCGGGAGGAACACCGGUGGCGAAGGCGGCGAUCUGGGUCGAUACUGACGCUGAGGUGCGAAAGCGUGGGGAGCAAACAGG
rnacentral:rRNA from 1 species